rnacentral:rRNA from 1 species
CGUUACUCCCGGUGUUAAGUAUAGCGGCUAUUUUUAGAGCCAUGUAUGCGCUUGCCGGGCAACUACGUCUUAACAGGUAAAAGUCGAAGUACUUGGCGGUCUAGAGAUGAACCAGCCCGUGAGACUUGACGGUUAAUCCGAUGAUCCGCGUAAAUUCUACUCUUUCUUGUAUUCUCAGUUGGUGUAUGGCCGUUUAGUGCUGUCUGGAAGGAAGUUGCGCCAAGCCACUACUCGUACAUGUGUUGGUAUGAGUUUAAGAUGGAGCACAUCAGGUCGUCAUGCUGCCUAUGAAGGAGGCUUAGUUGAGUCACAUUGAUUAGAUCAAGCGGAACCAAGAAGGAAGUAGCUUGGGGAAGAAGUAAUGGGUAGUAAGAAGAGAAUAAUUCGCUUUUCUGAAUCGUGAACUCCUAGGUGUACAAAUCGCCC